GCACCUCUGCUCUGCUUUUUCCCUUUUGACCGCACGUGCCCUCUACGCUUCUGCCGCCGGUGCCGCCUGCUGCUCGCGUCACCUGCCAGCACAGCUCCGCGACAGCGCGCGGAGGAGGCCGCCGCGCAGCUUUCCCCGCUCGCUUUUGACCGCCGCGCGCGCGAGCCCUGGCGGCGAGCGCCGUGAUGCCGCCGUGUGUCCAUGCAGCAACUCACAUCCUAUCCGAGCCAUCGGCGUCCAGGCCUCGACGCGCCCUCGGACCCUAGCCGCUCCGCCUAUAAAACCCCGCGGCCGCCGCAAACCCUAGAGCACAGAGCUCUUUUCCCCAAUCCGCCGCCGCUAGCCACAAGAACAAAGGAAGGAGGAGAGGGGGAAGGGAAAAAGGAGGAGGAGGAAGGAGAGGGGAGGAGCAGUCGAAGCACCGCCACCGGAGGACGCUGACGCCGACGUCUGCACUGAGCCGGCGCUCCCGAUCGACCACGCCAACGACGCGGCUCGGCACGGCACCGCGCCGACUCGUCGCUGCCACGCCUCGCCACAGCCUUGCCAUCGUCUUCCUCGCCAUACACCGGUCCUUGACGAGAAGGAGUUGACCGACGUCCCGGACGACCAAAAGAUCUAGAAGGACCACCCCGACACCCAGAGGACCCAGAAGGACGCACCGGACAACCAAAAGACAUCAGAGACCAAGGAAGACCACGAAGACCUAUCAGGUUCACGCCCUUAGAGAUUGAACACCUAAUAGGCAUUGCUUGCUAGAUACGCUACGCUCCCAAAUUGAGUGUGAUGAGAUGAGCUUGCAUGGCCUUUUAUUUACCGUAAUCCUUGAUUCCCAUACUUAGACAUGAAUUGUUGUAUGCUAUUGCUACUAUGAGUGAGAUUUGGGGUAUGAGAAUAUAUGAUGUGAUAGUCCUUGCUUG